GAAAAAUGUAAUAUAUUACUUGGUUAUGCGUGAGUAUCAUCGUUACAAAAUGAUUAGGACCCUCUUUAUAUAGUAGAUGAAUCCUAUUUAUGGUAUAAUUCUAAUUACAAAAGCAAAUCCCAAGAUAGGCUAAAUAAACGGCCCUAACUUGAUACGUGCCGAGAUUUUCGCCAUGAUCCUUGCCCGAUCACGGAUAUCUCAGCUUUCUCUUCCUUCGAUCUUGCUCAAUCUUUUUCUUGCUUCGGUCUCGAUCACGGCUGAUCUCGAUCUUGAUCGGCCAUUGAUCCACGAGCUUACCAAUCCAUCUCCGCACCAUGGUCCGAAAUAACCGAGGCCGAGCCUUGAUCUGCCACCUCGAUUUUGGUAUAACUAGUUAUACAAAACUAGGCAAGACCGAUGUCCGUAUACAAACAUGAAAUAGGUUUCGUACUAUUAUAAAUAGGGGUGUUGAUAACUUAUUUUAUGUGUGGAGAUUUAUGAAAACUGUAGAGAGCUUUUAUCCGCUUUUAAUUGCUUAGGAUUUGGAUUUUUCUUUGCAUGGCUGAUCAACAAUAAUCAAGCAAUUAUAAACCCACCUAGCUGUUCUUCGAUACCAUCAGUUGCAUUCAGUAUAAUUAUACAGCGUACUUCCUUGGUAAUAGCAUGAAAAAAUAGGAUGUUUUAUAGUAGCAUAAUAAGAAAACAAAGAGAAUAUGAAUCUCUUACCUAAUCAUGAUACCUAUUUUAUGCCAAACUUAACUUCAAGUACACCACAGAUUUUCCCGAGUAUUGACUAAUUUUGGUAGAGAAAAGAAUCAAAUAUUGGAAUUCAAUACAAAAAUACUAACUUGAAUUUCUCCGUAUCUAAUUUUGCCAUAAACAAGACCUCUCGUAACGAUGAAGCAUGCAUUGAAAUUUAAAUUUAAACAUUCAGAAGAUAACGAAGCUAAACACAGAUAUUCCCUAUAGCUUAAUAAGAAUUUAUGACUCUAUUAAUUUUCCCUUGUGCUUAAUUAGCAUAAUUAACAAAUGCACACCAAUUUUUUUUGUGGUUGGUUAAUAUUUAAUAGCAAAUAAUGACACAAUGUUAGAAGAAAAGUAGUGAUUUCUAGAUCAAUAUUGGUAAAGAUAAUAUAAUCACAAUUUAUUACCCGCUGAAUCCUACGCAAGAACGAAAAUUCACAAAUUUCUUCAACGUCUAGGGUUUUAGGAGUCAACAUGAGUCUCUUUCAACAACUUAUUACAUCUCACAUUUCCGUACGUUAAAAGUUUCGCCUUCAGUUAAUUGACAUAUACUCGGGGAUGAGAUUAUCUUGAGGUUAAUGUAUUUACACUAUUUAUAACAAGCAAUAAAUAAGUAUCAUGAAGGAUAAAGGGUACACGAAUUAAAGAAAACGAGUUUCGUUGAAAGUUGCCGAUUUAGGAUAAAAUACGGGUCGAGCGAUAAUACCCGAUAUUUAUGUACUAGUAUCAUACAAGGUACCAUAUGACCUUGGUAAUAAGAUAUAUAAAGUAUAUUAAAAAUGAGUAGUAUUUUAAGUAGUUGAGAUAAUUCUUAAUUAUAUGAAUAAUUGGUUAAUUAUCAGGUAAUGGAAUAAUACCUAGUUAAUUAUUAAAUCAGGAGGAUAAGACGUGGCAACAAAGGGAGCAACAAAACCAAUGACUAACUAGUCACAUAAGAUUAGUGGCCAUCUAAUAUAACGUGUAAGACCUUUAGACACUCAAAAUGUAUAUAAAAUAUUUGGUCUAUAUUAAAGUUGGUCUCUUUUAAAAAGCUUGGAUCAUUUCUGACAGAGAUUAACGAGUGGUACUAAAAUUUUUUCUUCCUAAUUCAAAAUCUUCAAGCACAAACGUUAAAUUUCAAGCCUCCAACGAAAUUCUUGCAAACAGUUAUAACGAGAAUUGUUAGAAUCUUAGCAACGUAAAAUUUUGCGGUUCUAAAGGAGUAUGGUGCAAUCUAUUCCAAGAAUAUUAUACGGAUUUUUCCUACUCCGGGUAUAUUAAGGUCAUCCCUUCUUUUUUUUUAGCAUGGUCCAAGUUAUACAGAAGAAACGAGCAAAUGCGCAGUUUUCUAUAGACGACUCUAUUCAUAGAAAUACUCGGGAUAUCUGUGUUUUUUAUUCCCCAUGUGACAUAUUAUUAUAUCUUCUAUUCAUGGGUCUCAGAAUAAUACACAGUUGAAAAAGUUUAUCCGGAAGGAAUAUUGAGAUUAUUACAUAUUUUUCAUGCAUUUCAUUCAUUUAUACAUGUACAAUGACCCUUGACCAGAUGACGUUAUGUGUAUGUAUAUAUAUAUAUAUAUAUAUAUGUAUGUAUGUAUAUAUGUAUGUAUGUAUGUAUGUAUGUAUGUAUGUAUGUAUGUAUGUAUGUAUGUAUGUAUGUAUGUAUGUAUGUAUGUAUGUAUGUAUGUAUGUAUAUGGGAUAUGAAAAAAAGGUUACGGCAUUAUAUGCGCACCACCACCGGAUCAGUUGGUACAUAUUGAUGAUGUUGCCCACAGUGGCCGAGAUGAUAUGAUGCGAUGCCCUCAGUGGCUUGAUGAUGUUUUGUACACCUAUACCCAUACAUGAAAUGACAUUUAUAUACACGUGCAUGACAUUAUAAAUAUUUCAGAAUUUACAAAGUUAUUCAGAUUUACAGAUGGAUUCUUUAUUCCAUGUUUCAUCUAUGUCCUUUACGUACAGAUUUUCAUGCCUUACAUACCCAAUACAUUUUUUGUACUGACGUCCUAUUUCACGAGACCUGCAUUUCAUGCCCGCAGGUGCAGGUAGGCAAGCUGACAGUCCCCCUUUAUUAGGAUCCUUGAUCAGUNNNNNNNNNNNNNNNNNNNNNNNNNNNNNNNNNNNNNNNNNNNNNNNNNNNNNNNNNNNNNNNNNNNNNNNNNNNNNNNNNNNNNNNNNNNNNNNNNNNNNNNNNNNNNNNNNNNNNNNNNNNNNNNNNNNNNNNNNNNNNNNNNNGGGCACCCGUCACGGCCCAUCAGUUUGGGUCGUGACAAAAGUGGUAUUAGAGCAGUUAUUGUCACACCUCCUUUUUCUUCCCCCCGGAAGGGUAUUAAGGGAGUUUUUCCAAUUUAAGUGACAACUGAAACAGGAUUAUUUAUUUAAAAUUCAGAGUCGCCACUUGGGAUAAUUUAUGAUGUCCCAAGUCACCGGUUUAAAAUCCCGAAUUGAGGAAAUUGACUCUAUUUUAUAGUCUGCGAACACAGAAAUCCGGGUAAGGAAUUUUGUUAACUCGGAAGAAGGUGUUAGGCAUUUUCGAGUUCCGUGGUUCUAGCACAGUCACUCAACUAUUAUUAUUGUCCUAAUUAUCUGAUUUUAAAACACUUUUAAACCUAUGUGCAUUUUUUAACUUUAAAAAAACCGCUUUUAUUUAUUUAACGAAUUAUUUGAAGGUUAUAUAAAAUACAUCGCAAGCCACGCUAUAUGAAAUGCACCCAUGAUUCACGACACGUCCUAUUUAACCUUGUAAGAAAUUAGAACCGGGUCACAUGAAAUGUACACCCGGAUUUUAGUAAUAGCCAUGAUAAUUAUAAUUAACGGGCCUAAAGCAAACUACGAAGUUCAUUUUUAAUAUCUAAGUUAUAACAUUUGCGAGGGCCAUAAGUGAUUUAAUUAAAAUGGCACACCUCAAUCCUUUUUUAAAAGAAUUACAUCUAAUUAACGCGGGCUGGAUACUUUUAUCUAUAAUUGAUUUGAACUAGAAAUAAAAACGACUGUUAGUGGUAAAAGGGGUUGGGGUACAUGUAUUGGGUUUUUAAUUUAUUUGGGGGAAUCUGGACCAACAACAAGCCCCAUUUAAUAUUUGAUCAUAAAGAACAAGAUAUAGGGGCUGCCUGGGCUCGAAGCUGAACCCACAAGGCAUGGACAUUCGAAGACCUCAUCAGGUCUAAAGAGAUCGAGGCUAUUUUACUUGGGCCGAUGCCCAGCACAACAGUUUCACAAAAAAAACUUCAAAUUACAAAUCUUUUUCUAAUUAACUUAACAUAGAAAUACUAUUGGGCAUCAAAUUAAAUCCAAAACAAAAUUGAGGCCAAAUCUGACCGCGUCUGGGUCUUGAGACAAACAGGCCAACUUAUAAGGCCAAGAAUCAAGCCCUAGUUCAACUGAAAAACUUUAAACAUGCUAGGCCCUUCUUGAUAUUCAAGCCACUCUAGACAUACAAAUCACAAUAAAAACAUGAAUACUAAGAAUUGAAAAAUAAUAUGCUGAAUCGACUAUAUUAUCUACAUGAGACUCAAAGCACAGAUGUCAACUGUCUAAUUAAUCAUAAAACAUGAUGUUCAAGAAAGAAAGUUCAGUUGGCCUUGACUUAAGAUCCAAGAUAAACUGGAAUAAUGAUCUAAGAUUGCUAACAUUAUGAACUGUCAUAUAGUUAGAACAAUUCUCUCAGAAUCAAAACAAAUUUUAAUAACAACCAUAUAAGCUAUCAUGGCUAAAUCAAGACAAACAGUACAUGAUACGCAUUAACCUAAACAUCAACUUUGCAUUGAAUCCUUGAGAAGAUGAAACUCAUACAUACAAUGUAACUCACCAGAACAUCAGCAUACAGUAUAAGCCUUAUAACAUGCAGUACAAAUCCUUCAACAUCCUAUAAUCCAACCAAGCUUUCAAACAGAACAAAUCCCUAUAAUAUUAGAUCCUACUGGGACACAUUACUAUAUAUAUUCAUAACUAAAUUCUAAUUAGCUAAAAGGAACAUAGAUGACAGAGUAAAAAAUAACAAGAAUAAAAUCAACGAAUAUAAACCACUCCACGUAUUCAUUAUGCCAUUUUAGAAGUAAGAGGCAAACGAUCCACAACUUCAUAUUCAUAACCGAUAGCCAAGAGAUGUUCAGCCUACAUACCUGGAUACAAGCAAACAAAGCAAAGGAAUAAAUAUUGAACUUGACAAGGGCCAAACAAGCAACAGAAAGUCAGCAACAAAAAAUGUCGCAGCAAUAGUCAACACCAGCCUCAGAUUAAAUCAUUUUUCUUGACUCCAAAAUCACCAGAAAUCGAAAGAAGAGUUCCCCUUAAACUUUUGUGAAAGAAGGAAAGAGUGAAAGGUUAAAAACAAGCAUCAAUAUUUUCAGAAAGAAGUUUCAGCCGUUUGCUAUUGUUAGGUAUUGUAAUCUCUGC
rnacentral:lncRNA from 1 species